UGGGGAAUUUUGGACAAUGGGCGCAAGCCUGAUCCAGCCAUGCCGCGUGCGGGAAGAAGGCCUUCGGGUCGUAAACCGCUUUUGUCAGGGAAGAAAUCUUCUGAGUUAAUACCUCGGGAGGAUGACGGUACCUGAAGAAUAAGCACCGGCUAACUACGUGCCAGCAGCCGCGGUAAUACGUAGGGUGCAAGCGUUAAUCGGAAUUACUGGGCGUAAAGCGUGCGCAGGCGGUUUUGUAAGACAGAGGUGAAAUCCCCGGGCUCAACCUGGGAACUGCCUUUGUGACUGCAAGGCUUGAGUGCGGCAGAGGGGGAUGGAAUUCCGCGUGUAGCAGUGAAAUGCGUNGAUAUGCGGAGGAACACCGAUGGCGAAGGCAAUCCCCUGGGCCUGCACUGACGCUCAUGCACGAAAGCGUGGGGAGCAAAACAGGAUUAGAUCCCUGGUAGUCCACGCCCUAAACGAUGUCAACUGGUUGUU
rnacentral:rRNA from 1 species